UGAGUGACUGAUAAUGAGAUGCUAAUGGUUCCAAACAGCACCGCGGACAGCUCCCGGCGUGGCUCCGCCCCCUUUCCCACAGGCUGCGUGUUGCCGCCACUGCCUCACUUCAGCUGCGGACACAACAGAGGCAGCUUCAAAGAGCUUGUGGACGGACAGAGGCGAGGAGCACUGUGAUGUUGUGUAGCUGGGCUGUGCCGGCUGAGCAACACUUUAAUGGAGUAAUACCCGCUGCUGCGUAAAACAGCUCAUUGGGUUCGGAAGAAAAAGAGAGCGCGUACUCUGCGAAGACUGAAAAAUGCCAUUCUAGCGCGAGCGCAGACGGGUUCUCUUCAUAGAAAUUCAAGUUUGGAGCCAUUUUUUCCUUCCCUUUUCAUUCUGUUUUGGACCUUGAGCAACUUUUGUUUCCGUCGUGUUUAGACCUGCUGUCCAUUUGUCUCGCAUACUUGGAGCCUGAAAAGCUGUGGAGAUGGAGAGCGAGAAGUACCUGCCGGAGCUUCUGUCGGAGAAGAACACGCUGGACCCGUCUUUUCAGCACUCCCUGCGACUGCUGGAGCUAGAGAUUGACAAAAUCCAGAGAGAUGACGGGAAGGAGGAGGAGAAGUUCAUCGACGUCGUCAUCAACAAGAACAUGAAACUGGGCCAGAAAGUUUUAAUACCAGUCAAGCAGUUUCCUAAAUUUAACUUUGUCGGCAAACUCCUCGGGCCACGCGGGAACUCGUUAAAGAGACUACAAGAGGACACCCUCACAAAGAUGUCGAUUCUUGGAAAAGGAUCCAUGAGAGACAAAGAGAAGGAAGAAGAGCUACGGCAGAGUGGCGAGGCCAAAUAUAAUCAUCUGAACGAAGACUUGCACGUCCUCAUCGAGGUGUUCGCCCCACCAGCUGAGGCCUAUGCCAGAAUGGGUCACGCUCUAGAAGAGAUCAAGAAGUUUCUCAUUCCAGAUUACAACGAUGAGAUCAGACAAGCCCAGCUGCAAGAGCUCACAUACCUGAACGGUGGCUCCGAGGAUGCCAAGGUGCCAUCCGUUAGGGGCAAGUCAACCACACGUGGCAGGGGCACACCUGUUCCAGGGCCUCCAAGGAGCCGUGGAGGAGUUCCAUCCCUGCAUGCAGCAGUGCCCCGAGGAGCAGCACCCCGAGGAGCCCUGCCGAGCCGGGCCCCAACCUCCAGAGGGAGAGGAGUCCAGAGAGCCAGAGGCACCCCACCAGCUGCCACCUACAGGGCAGCUCCACCCAUAGUGCAGGACACAUACGGUGAAUACGAUUAUGAUGACGGUUAUGGAACCACUUACGAUGAUCAGGGAUAUGAGUCUUAUGACAACAGCUACAGCAAUCAAGGACAAAACUCAGAUGACUACUAUGAAUACGGACACAGCGGGGAGUCGUAUGAUUCGUAUGGUCAGGAAGAGUGGGCAAACAGUCGCAGCAAGGCUCCGUCAGCACGGACAACCAAGGGAGCGUACAGGGAUCAGCCAUACUCGAGAUAUUGAACUGUUUAUACAAGCCGCACCCGAGUCCUCAUGGCAGUUUCAACUCAAGGUGAGGUCCCAGCUGAACACCACUGUCUGUCCAAACAUGUUGCUGCUGUUCAAGGAUUAAAGAACAACAGACAAGUCUCUCUCCAAACAUUAAAACCAGAACAUUGCCUUAUUGAAUCCUCAUGGAAAAACGCCCUCCCACUUCACAGAUUGACAAAAGUUUUGUUUUUCCAAUGUUUACAAUGUGGACUGGGGUCUUUUCUGCAGGCCAGGGAAAGAAUGAAAAGUGACUGAUUGGAGAUGUAGAAAACAGGGGGAAAUUACAUUAGUAUCACACUUUAUUAUUCUCCAGAGGAAAGAGGGAGGAGCGAAAACCCGUGAAUGGACUUCAGCAUCCACUAGGAGUUGAAAAGUAAAAUUUUUUUGGAGGAUCAUUGACUGUAUAACUUCGUACACACAGGACUGUUCUGAAACAGCUGUGAACCUUAACUGUCUCUUCUGAUUGUGGCUGUUGGUAGAGAGGAUGUGUGAACAUCUUGUAUUAGACAUUAACUAUUGCCUGCUUGGAAGGAUAAGGUAAUAAAUAAUGCAGCAUGCCAAGACGGGACAUCAUAAUUAUGGCAAACAGAUUUUGUUCUCGCAUUGUUCUGCUCAAUAAUCGCAAUCUAGUGCGCCCUUAUGAAUUAAUAAUUAACAAAGUGCCUUACUGUUACAUUGUUGUGACAGUUUUAGAUCUUCAGUCCCAGAUUUAAAGUUAAAAUAUGGGUGCAAGACUAGUUAGCUGUUUUCUUUCCUUCUCUUUUUUUGUGGGUUUUUUGCGGGUCACCACGAUGCUAGAGAAUCCCUCAUCUACUUGCAGAAGACAACAGCCUGUUCCAGAUGUAUUGCUUAAUCACAGUCGACUUCGGUGGAUAUUACAAUUCCGAAAUAGCUUUCUUGCAGAUAGAGAGCUCCAUUUGGCCUCGUGCAUAAGUCCAGAGAGACUCAUCCGUAUUCUACACAUUUUCAGAGGCAGACAAUAGUUUUCCAUUAGAGGAAGUGAUUCUCCACGGAGCCUCGGGCCCAGCCUCAGACAAUAACACAGCAACCUAAAGCUCACAACUCAGGCUCCCGAAGUCAACUCUCGUCACCUCUAGGGGCGGAUCGCCACUAUGAAGUGGCUUAAAGACAAAGACUUAUCUGACACUUGUCCAAGUUAAUAGAGUAAGAGUGGCUUAUUUGAUUAAGGAUGCAUACAAAGGAGGAUGUAGGGAUCUGUGGAUAGGAGACAAAUCAAUUUGAGCUCUUGAAUACAAAUCAGUGUGUCUCUAACACACCAUACAACUGCUUUGCUCAACAGCGAAAUUAGACCAGCACUGAGGAACCUUUGGUUAAAAUCUUACAUUGCACUUUGCAAAAUGCACAGCAAUUCAGAUAUAUUUUCAAAAGUCACUCUGUUGUGAGGGUGUUUGCUUGUAUGUUUAGGAUUGUCGGUCAAAUAUGAAACCAUCACCAUGUCCCACUUCCAAAUUCUGUGCAUGCUAUUUUUCCAUGUUCAGCUAGCGAACAGAUUUAUUGAGGAGAAUCCAGCAGCAAGGGCCAUCUUCAGGUUGAAUAACAGGUGCAAAGCUAACAAUUAAUGUGACUCUAUUCAACAGGUAUAUAAUCUCCCUGUUUCUUGGUAACGUAAAGUUCCUCUACUGGGUCGACAUCUCAGCACAUGGCACCUGAAAAACCCACUGUAAUUAAUCCCCAAAUGGGCUGACAUGCUGUCUGCAAACUUUGUCAAUGAUGUUUCCAUUUCCAAAGAGGGCUGGUUCAACUAUUUUUGAGCAGUUUUGAGCAGUACACCUUCUAUUCUAGAGCUAUAAAUACCAUACAGACAACUGGUAUCAAACCUGCUUAUUAAAUCAGCAAAGUUCUCCCUGGUGAGCGACUCCUUACUAUCCGAAUUUUCUUAAUUUAAAAUCAAGUAUUUAUGUUUAAAGCCAAUUAUUUUAUUGAUGAGUUUCAAUACUUUUUUUGAAUGUUGAACAGGUUUAUUAUGGAAUGUGUUAUUUUAAGGUGCUAUUUUCAAGUUUGUUGACCCAUGAAAAAUAAAUAUUGUGUUGUAUUAGCCUCGGAGGCCCAAACUCAUAUGAGCAUGACACCAUACUCCAAUGAAAUCCGUUCCAGUUGUGCUCAAUAGCCAAACUCACUGCUAUAAGCAAUAGAAAAUUACACUUUUUUUUUUAUGUUUUAAACACCGGUUCAUAGAAAACGUUGUACAACACUAUAGGUGUAAAUGAUGUACUUAGAUACAGUCAGGAAUACAAAUAAACAGUUUAUUUCUGCACGUCCAGCUACAGUAUGUAUUAUACGCAUGGAAGCCACAUUUGAUUUAUGAUUGGAUGUUCAAGUCUAUUUUUCUGACAUAGAAAUCUAAAAUCUAAAAAGUGUAUAUUAAAUUCCCCAUAAUAGUGGCAAUAAUUAAUUUUUUUGUAAUAGUACAGAACCAUGUCAGGAGACGUAACAUGGAUGCUCUUCCGGGAUAACACCCCGCAAAGGUAAUACAUUUAAUGAAAUAUUCAUAUAAUUACAAAUAUGUAUAGUUGUCCAGGAAAAGAAGAAAGAAAAACACUACUGUAUUAUAAUUCAAUGAGUUUUACAUUUUUCUUUUUAUUAAGUUCUAAAGAAGACACCUGCUCUUUGGACCACAAUAAACUAGAAGGCUCUUAAUUAGAUUGAGUUUUAAACAUGGGGAUAUAUUAUGAGGUGUUCCUUUGAAAGUGAGCUCUAAUGUGACCAUGGGUCAGCAUGUGCUGCCUCCUAAGUGGCUGCUGAGAUUGAGAGGGAUCGAUCACUACAGGGCCUCUAGUCAAGAGGGCUGAUCGAUAGCAGCAACACAGACGAUGGAUAUCUGUUCAGCUCACAUUUUAUCCAAAGAGCGAUUCCUGAUAUUCUGGGAAAUCCAUUUUUUUUCAAAGCUCAGAACAAGUCUAUCAAAUAAAUGGAAAAAGAUGAAUGUACAUAUAUCUGAACAGAGAAGUUAUUACAGUAUCACUGUGUAUGCCGAGUCUAUAAUUAAUUCUGUCUGUACAUUAUAUAUCUCAGAACAAUUCAUAUAAUGUGCUGUCAAGCUAUAAAAAUAUAUUUUGCUUGUUUAUGUAUUUACAAGUAAGGAAGUUUUCAUUCCUGUUGAUUAAGAAAGUAAUAUUCUUCUGUAUUAUGCACAGAUAACAGUGUGUCAUGUUGGGAAACAAAUAAUAAAAGCACUUGCUAUGUAUUGAA